rnacentral:rRNA from 1 species
GAACGUUGGCGGCGUGCUUAAUACAUGCAAGUCAACUGAAGCACCGGUAGUAAUACUGGUGUGGAGGUGGCGCACGGGUGAGUAACACGUAGGUAAUCUGCCUUCAGGUCUGACAUAACCCCGAGAAAUCGGGGCUAAUAGCAGAUGAUGCAGCGGCUUGACAUCAAGACAGUUGUUAAAGCUUCGGCGCCUGAAGAUGAGCCUGCGUCUGAUUAGCUAGUUGGCGGAGUAAUAGCCCACCAAGGCGACGAUCAGUAGCUGGUCUGAGAGGAUGAUCAGCCACACUGGAACUGAGACACGGUCCAGACUCCUACGGGAGGCAGCAGUAAGGAAUAUUGCUCAAUGGGAGAAAUCCUGAAGCAGCAACGCCGCGUGAGGGAUGAAGGGCUUUUGCUCGUAAACCUCUGUAGUGAGGGAAAAAUUUCCAUUCUAUGGAAUAUGAUGGUACCUCAAAAGUAAGCCCCGGCUAACUACGUG